AGCGAACGCUGGCGGCAGGCCUAACACAUGCAAGUCGAACGAACCUUUCGGGGUUAGUGGCGGACGGGUGAGUAACACGUGGGAACGUGCCUUUAGGUUCGGAAUAACUCAGGGAAACUUGUGCUAAUACCGAAUGUGCCCUUCGGGGGAAAGAUUAAUCGCCUUUAGAUCGGCCCGCGUCUGAUUAGCUAGUUGGUUGAGGUAAUGGCUCACCAAGGCGACGAUCAGUAGCUGGUCUGAGAGGAUGAUCAGCCACAUUGGGACUGAGACACGGCCCAAACUCCUACGGGAAGCAGCAGUGGGGAAUCUUGCGCAAUGGGCGAAAGCCUGACGCAGCCAUGCCGCGUGAAUGAUGAAGGUCUUAGGAUUGUAAAAUUCUUUCACCGGGGACGAUAAUGACGGUACCCGGAGAAGAAGCCCCGGCUAACUUCGUG
rnacentral:rRNA from 1 species